GGUGAACGCUGGCGGUAGGCCUAACACAUGCAAGUCGAACGGCAGCACAGUAAGAGCUUGCUCUUACGGGUGGCGAGUGGCGGACGGGUGAGGAAUACAUCGGAAUCUACUUUUUCGUGGGGGAUAACGUAGGGAAACUUACGCUAAUACCGCAUACGACCUACGGGUGAAAGCAGGGGAUCUUCGGACCUUGCGCGAUUGAAUGAGCCGAUGUCGGAUUAGCUAGUUGGCGGGGUAAAGGCCCACCAAGGCGAUGAUCCGUAGCUGGUCUGAGAGGAUGAGCAGCCACACUGGAACUGAGACACGGUCCAGACUCCUACGGGAGGCAGCAGUGGGGAAUAUUGGACAAUGGGCGCAAGCCUGAUCCAGCCAUACCGCGUGGGUGAAGAAGGCCUUCGGGUUGUAAAGCCCUUUUGUUGGGAAAGAAAAGCAGCAGGUUAAUACCCCGCUGUUCUGACGGUACCCAAAGAAUAAGCACCGGCUAACUUCGUG
rnacentral:rRNA from 1 species